GCGCUUGUCCUCUGUCUCCUACCUGCACAACCACUUUUUUUUCAUUUCAGAGAGAUGGAGAACGCUGGGGCGCUUCAGCAUUCUGGACACUGGGAUCCAGCAGAACAACAAGACAAUGAAGACCUGUAUUCAUCAUACGUUUGGAGAAGGAGAAGUUUGACCCCACCUCCCAACA